rnacentral:rRNA from 1 species
UACGUAGGGCGCAAGCGUUGUCCGGAAUUAUUGGGCGUAAAGAGCUCGUAGGCGGCCUGUCGCGUCGGUUGUGAAAGCCCGGGGCUUAACCCCGGGUCUGCAGUCGAUACGGGCAGGCUAGAGUUCGGUAGGGGAGAUCGGAAUUCCUGGUGUAGCGGUGGAAUGCGCAGAUAUCAGGAGGAACACCGGUGGCGAAGGCGGAUCUCUGGGCCGAUACUGACGCUGAGGAGCGAAAGCGUGGGGAGCAAACAGG